rnacentral:rRNA from 1 species
CGGAGGAUCCAAGCGUUAUCCGGAAUCAUUGGGUUUAAAGGGUCCGUAGGCGGUUUUAUAAGUCAGUGGUGAAAUCUGGUCGCUCAACGAUCAAACGGCCAUUGAUACUGUAGAACUUGAAUUACUUGGAAGUAACUAGAAUAUGUAGUGUAGCGGUGAAAUGCUUAGAGAUUACAUGGAAUACCAAUUGCGAAGGCAGGUUACUACAAGUGGAUUGACGCUGAUGGACGAAAGCGUGGGGAGCGAACAGGAUUAGGUACCCUGGUAGUCCACGCCGUAAACGAUGGAUACUAGCUGUUCGGAGCAAUCUGAGUGGCUAAGCGAAAGUGAUAAGUAUCCCACCUGGGGAGUACGAACGCAAGUUUG